UUACUGAGUUACCGCUCUAUAACCCUUUGUGAACAUACCUAACCGUUGCUUCGGCGGGCAGGGGAAGCCUCUCGCGGGCCUCCCCUCCCGGCGCCGGCCCCCACCACGGGGACGGGGCGCCCGCCGGAGGAAACCAAACUCUAUUUACACGACGUCUCUUCUGAGUGGCACAAGCAAAUAAUUAAAACUUUUAACAACGGAUCUCUUGGUUCUGGCAUCGAUGAAGAACGCAGCGAAAUGCGAUAAGUAAUGUGAAUUGCAGAAUUCAGUGAAUCAUCGAAUCUUUGAACGCACAUUGCGCUCGCCAGCAUUCUGGCGAGCAUGCCUGUUCGAGCGUCAUUUCAACCCUCAAGCACCGCUUGGUUUUGGGGCCCCACGGCACACGUGGGCCCUUAAAGGUAGUGGCGGACCCUCCCGGAGCCUCCUUUGCGUAGUAACUAACGUCUCGCACUGGGAUCCGGAGGGACUCUUGCCGUAAAACCCCCAAAUUCUUUACAGGUUGACCUCGGAUCAGGUAGGAAUACCCGCUGAACUUAAGCAUAUCAAUAA
rnacentral:rRNA from 1 species